rnacentral:lncRNA from 1 species
AAAAAGGUGCUUUUGUGCCUCGAUACCAGAUAUCUCUUGAAACACUUGUUGACUCAUCAGAUAUGGCAACAGCUGGUGCUAUUCGCUUACUGGAUAUGGAGGAAGAUAUCUUUGGUUAUUCAUGCACUGAAACAAUCGGAAAAGAAGAUCUGGAACAUAUUUUUCGGCAUCAAGAAUUAGGCGUCGGUGUUAUACACACAUACAUCCGGUAAUCCGAUCUAUAUAUUAUUUAAUUACUUGAACAAUUUAUUUACACAUUUCAAUAAAAAUAGUCUAAUGUUUAUUAUGUUUUUAUGAAGGUUCUUGUAU